rnacentral:antisense_RNA from 1 species
UUUCGCGUUGGCUUUGCGCGCCAUAAUACCGUUGCCAACGGCGUGUAAUAAGUGGGUUUUACCAAGCCCGGUUCCACCGU